AUGGGGAAUAUCUUUGCAAACCUCUUCAAAGGCCUUUUUGGCAAGAAAGAAAUGCACAUUCUCAUGGUGGGCCUAGAUGCUGCAGGAAAGACAAUUCUAUACAAACUGAAGCUGGGUGAAAUUGUGACCACCAUCCCCACCAUUGGUUUCAAUGUGGAGACCACUGAGUACGAGACAUCAGCUUCACCGUGUGGGACAUGGGUGGCCAGGGCAAGAUCUGGCCUCUCUGGUGUCACUACUUCCAGAAUACUCAAGGCUUGAUCUUUGUAGUGGACAGCAAUGACAAAGUGUGUGGUAACGAGGCCUGUGAGGAGCUCAUGAGAAUGUUGGCUGAGGAUGACCUCCAGGAUGCUGUUCUCCUGGUGUUUGCCAACAAGCAGGACCUUCCCAAUGCCAUGAAAGUGGCCAAAAUCACAGACAAGCUGGGGCUGAACUGUCUACGCCACAGGAACUGGUACAUUCAGGCCACCUGUGCCACCAGUGGGGAUGGGCUCUAUGAAGGACUAGACUGGCUGUCCAAUCAGCUCCAGAACCAGAAGUGAA